AUUGAACGCUGGCGGCAGGCUUAACACAUGCAAGUCGAGCGGAGUGAUGGUGCUUGCACUAUCACUUAGCGGCGGACGGGUGAGUAAUGCUUAGGAAUCUGCCUAUUAGUGGGGGACAACAUCUCGAACGGGAUGCUAAUACCGCAUACGUCCUACGGGACAAAGCAGGGGAUCACUUGUGACCUUGCGCUAAUAGAUGAGCCUAAGUUGGAUUAGCUAGGUGGGGGGGUAAAGGCCUACCAAGGCGACGAUCUGUAGCGGGUCUGAGAGGAGGAUCCGCCACAAUGGGGCGGAGACACGGCCCAGACUCCUAGGGGAGGCAGCAGUGGGGAAUAUUGGACGAUGGGGGGAACCCUGAUCAAGCCAUGCCGCGUGUGUGAAGAAGGCCUUAUGGUUGUAAAGCACUUUAAGCGAGGAGGAGGCUCUUUUGGUUAAUACCCAAGAUGAGUGGACGUUACUCGCAGAAGAAGCACCGGCUAACUCUGUGCCAGCAGCCGCGGUAA
rnacentral:rRNA from 1 species